CUAACAUUGCCACACACAUACACUGCCCACACACCCUACACAUUCACACACUACACCCCCACACACACACACUGAACCUUUCACACACAUUGCACCACUGCUCCUAUUCCCUACUACAGCCUCAUAUCCCAGCAGACCCCAGGUAAGUUGUCAAACUGUUCUUAAACGGUUUGACUACAUACUCUGGAGCAGUAGUGGUUAUUGUGCAUGGAUUAUUUCUUUAAAUAAUCUACAAGUGCC